rnacentral:rRNA from 1 species
GAUCCUGGCUCAGGACGAACGCUGGCGGCGCGCCUAACACAUGCAAGUCGAACGAGCGAGAGAGAGCUUGCUUUCUCAAGCGAGUGGCGAACGGGUGAGUAACGCGUGAGGAACCUGCCUCAAAGAGGGGGACAACAGUUGGAAACGACUGCUAAUACCGCAUAAGCCCACGACCCGGCAUCGGGUAGAGGGAAAAGGAGCAAUCCGCUUUGAGAUGGCCUCGCGUCCGAUUAGCUAGUUGGUGAGG